UCCAAUAAUUGUUACUAUCUUUAAAAUAUGAUUUUUUAUGAAAUACUAUUUCCAUCAAACAAACAAAGUCUAAAAGAAAAACAUAGUGAGUAUUAUUACGGAGUAGCUCCUCCACUAUAAAAGGGCCUUCCUCCUCACCUCUUUUUCAUCAUCAAAAACACUUAUUAAAAAUAAAGAAAAGAAAAGAAAAGAAAGGAAGAAUGGUUUCGAAGGUGAUAAGUGUGUUAGUUUUGGUAGCAAUAAUGAUGGUUGCUACAAAUGCUGAACCCAUGCAAAAUACUGAUUAUCUCUCAGAAAUCAUAAUCAAAGAAAUUGUUGCUCAUAAUAAUAUUAACAAUCCUCUCCAUUGCAUGAAGCAAGGGGAACCUUGUAAAUUAUUCAAUCACUGUUGUACCGGUUUCUGCUUCCCUGGUCCUGCUAUUGGAGUGUGCAGUUGAUAAAAGAAAUUUUGAGCGAAAUUCUGACGGUAACUACAGUAAUUCAACUGGAAAGUUCUGGAUUUACAGGUAUAAACUCAACUAUUUCUGGAAUUUUACCUGAAUUUCUUAAAUUGAGUUAAAUUAAUUAAUUAGCUUUAAAACUUCAAUGAUGUUUUUUAUAUGUGUUUUUUUUAAUAUUGAUUACUCGGUCUAUGAAGUAUUUUCUGGAUUGUAAUAUUUUACUUGUUUGGGUAAGAUUAAUAAAUAUGGUGAAUGAAGCCACAUCCAAUAUACAUUAUAACACAUUCUCUGUGGAUAACAUACAUUCAUGGAAAUUCUUAUAUAAAGCAUAGGACUACUAUUGAGAUUUUGUUAAAGAGCAAAGUUGCAUAUGAAGUGUUGUAGUGGUGCAGAAGAUAUAUGAACAGAGAAGAUAGAAAAACGCGAUACGGGAGUGACAGUCAGACAGUCCAUUCGUGAUGCAUAAUUGCAUUCUUAUAGAAAUGUGUAUGGGUUCUGAAAUUUGUGAUCAGUGUUAAUUAUAUUUCCCAUAUUUAUGAUAAUGUUACACUCCAAAUUACACCAAAAAAAAAAUAUUUUACUUGUUUUUUCAAUGUGAAUAAUAUUUAAAAGUAAGUGAUAUUUAAUAAAAUAAAAUAAAUAAAUAAAAAAUCUAGGUGAAGUCAUUUAGAAGUAAAAUUGAAGUUUCUGUCUAUCUGAAUUGACUGCUUUUUAGUUCUAGCAUUUUUACAUUUACUCCCUUUGUCCGGAUGAUCAGAUUUGGUUGUCAUGACUUAUGAGCAUAUAGUCCAAUUACGCUAUCAACAUGACUAUUAAUUUGGUGAUUGGAGUCGGUGAGUAUUGGAUAAUUGUUUUCUUUUUGUUCGCAUCGGAGAAGUAUGGAAAAUCUCAUGUGAAGUAUGUUUGGGUUUAUCUAUGGCACCGAUCUCGAAUACUGCAUAGGGAGACAAUAGACGAUUACGGAGUGAUAUUUCUUAUGAUUGAUUUGGCUUCUUGUGCCGCGUUACGUGGCAACACAUGAUGUUUGUCAAACUAAGUACACCAGUCAAAUAUUUUGUUUACAAUAUACAGAAAACUUAUGAUCCAUAUUGAAUUUCAGAUUAUUUUAAGUUGGACUAUGAUAUCCAGAUCAUUUGGCGAAUAUGUUUGUUUAUAUAUGUGUUUUUUGGGACUCGCUGAUGCAUGUCCAAUGGUUUUAUAAAAUUUGAAUUUUAUAAUAUAUAUUGCGAGUUCACUUCAAGUUCAAUUUUCUGUGGUGAUACUAUGAAAUCUUGUUGCCUGACCAUUGUAAUUGUAUUAGCUUUGCUGUGCUCUUGAUUGAAAAGACAGAUGAAGAAGGGCAAUUACAAGUAUUAUUAGCUGCACUUGAGGUAAAAUACUAAAAUCCUCUGGUUCCUUUCAACUGCCCUUUGUAUUAAGUUUCUGUCUUAUGUGUUGAUGCAAUUAAAACUAUAGCAAUCUUAUAAUGCUUGCUCAGAUUCAACUGUUCAAUGGGAUCAUUUUGCAUUUAUGUUUGAGAAUGUAGGAAUAUAUUAAUAAAUUUUGAUUGAAUACAGUGGCCAACAAUUACUAAAUCUAUUUGGAAAACUUAAAAGAUAAUUUAAAAUCGAGGAGUAUUUGCGAUGCUAAUGGAUUGAGCUUACAAAUUGUUUAAGUAUAAUAAUGCAGAAGUGCUACUUUUAUAGUUUUAUUUGCUGGGUAAAAAGUUUGAUUUAUUCUCUGGUUGUAGAUUGCUGAAGCAGAGAGUAUUGAUCUAGAUUCAAAAUUUCGUGCCCUGGUUGCUAAUGGAUCAUUGCUAUGUUGUCUUCUUAUAUCUGUUGUGUUAUGAGAAUGCCACAACCCACUGGGUAAUGUCAAGAGAUACUUUCAAGUAUAAAGAGGUUGUUUUUAACUUUGAUGGCAAUAAAACAUUAGCUUUGCAGCUGUUAUAAGGUUGUUAAUUCAUUGGACUGAAAAUUUCACAUACUUUAGGCGACAAAAAGGUACUUCCCAUCCGUUGGACCUAGCUAAGGUGACCUUCAAUCAGUCAUCAAGUUAAAAAAACUAUAAAUCAAUAUCCCAUCCAUUAAACAACCACCUUGUUCAACCCUAAAUUAAAAAAAAAAAAUUCAAAAUAACAACUAGCAUUUAUUUCACAUGGCAGAUUAAGUUGGACCUAGCAUUUAACACUCGUUUCAGGUCUUCAAGUUUUACACCAUGAUUGGCUAAUAAGCAAUGCCGAAUAACAACUUUUAUGUCACAUGGUAGAUUAAGUUGAAUUAACUAUGUUGGUUUAAUAUAUGUAAUUUUUUAUGGCAGAUUCUUAAUUAUGCGGAAGUGAAUUCCACAAGUUGCUCGAGGUUCUGGUUGUGGACAAACGAUUAAGGCGGUAGUACGCAUAUGAGAUUGUCUUCACUUGUGGUAUAUAUAUCUGAACCAUUCUUUGCAAUAUUAACCAAUUUGUUCUAGUUAAUUGGUAUAAUGAUUGUGAAUUGUAUGAGAUUUUUAAUUGUGAUAUAAUUGAUUGGAAUUGCAAUAAUACUUGCAUCAUUGGCUUAGAUACCCGUUCAGGGCUUACUCAUUAGGAGUAAGUCUUGAAUAGUCCCCGGUUUCAAAUGUGUAGUGCUUUUCGAAGUUUUAAGGCAUUAAGUGGACAAUCUAGGGGAAGUAAAUUGACACGGCAUUUGGGACAGGUUACCUUAAUUUCUUACCCUAACUUUUAGUUUCUUAAUAAUUGAAGUAUAGCAAUUUAAUUCAACUUACAAAUAUAUUACAUGUAGUGUCCUCAACAAUUGGGUGGACGUGAGUGUGGCUACUACGUCAUGCGUUAUAUGUACAAAAUACUUGAACAUUACCAUAGCAGUGAAGAUCUUAUUCUGGAUUUUUCAAGAAGUACACCGUACACCGAGGAGGAGAUAAAUGAGAUCCGAGAUAUUUGGGCAGAGUAUUUUAUAUGUAAUGUUGAACUUUAAAUUUACCACUUAGCGCAUGUUUGACUCUUGUUUUGGAUUAUAGGCUUGAAAUGAAGUAAUUUGGUUAAUUGGUGUUGGGAUGAUGAGUAUAAUGUCUAUGAUAUUGAGAUGUAAAUUAUUGGACAGGUUGUUAAUAUAAUGCCGUCAUUCCCAAUUUUAUGGGUAGGCCAAAUUACAAAGGAGACUCUGCCGAAAUUUACAUUUGCAUUAUUCAAUAAUAUUGCAUUUUAAUUUCAA